AUUGAACGCUGGCGGCAGGCCUAACACAUGCAAGUCGAGCGAGCGGCGGACGGGUGAGUAAUGUCUGGGGACUGCCCGAUAGAGGGGGAUAACUACUGGAAACGGUGGCUAAUACCGCAUACUAUCGGAUAACCCAUAUGGGAUUAGCUAGUAGGUGGGGUAAAGGCUCACCUAGGCGACGAUCUCUAGCUGGUCUGAGAGGAUGAACAGCCACACUGGGACUGAGACACGGUCCAGACUCCUACGGAGGCAGCAGUGGGGAAUAUUGCACAAUGGGCGCAAGCCUGAUGCAGCCAUGCCGCGUGUAUGAAGAAGGCCUUAGGGUUGUAAAGUUCUUUCGGUAGGGAGGCGUUAACCACAGAAGAAGCACCGGCUAACUCCGUGCCAGCAGCCGCGGUAAUUC
rnacentral:rRNA from 1 species